rnacentral:tRNA from 1 species
UUGAGCAUAGCUCAGUUGGUAAGGACAAUGUAUUAUUAUAUGCAGGGGUCGGGGUUCGAACCCCAGUUUUAAC